rnacentral:lncRNA from 1 species
UGCAAUGGUGUUGUGGUUGGAGAUGCCCUAAAUCACCAUUUUCACUGUCAUAGACAAUGGCCUCUUUGAAUCGUACAGCUUGAGCGCUUCUGACUCUAUCAUCAAAGCUACAUCCCCCCUCAAUGAUGCCUAAUUCCAAAAAGAUAAUCUUUAUCCUUACGGUUAAAAAACAAAUUAAGGAAUUGGUAAAUCUAUAUACAUAUGCAGCCCGAAAUUCGGCCAUCCCCAAAUUAGCUCAAACUAAUAACACCAUCCCCAAAAUUCAGCCAUCCCACAAAUGGCCAAACCAGAUACACCAUCCCCAAAUAGCUAAGAAACAAUUUGAGAAACAUCAAACACUUAAAAAAUAAAAAAAUAAAAAAAUAAAUCAACAAAAGUGAGAGAAGGAAAAAAAAUAUCCCUUUACAUACAAGGAAAAAAAAAUUAUCCCUUUACAAAACCAGAUACAUGACUGUGUUCGAGAAUGUAGACAAGGUAGAGGUUGAAC